rnacentral:tRNA from 1 species
GGUAAGGUAAGCUAAUAUAAGCUAGUGGGCUCAUAACCCAAAAAUGAUAAACUUUCCCCUACCA